GUUUUAUAUGAUAUGGGUAGCAAUUAAAGCAGCAGCCACUUUCUCUGAAAUUAAGUACAUUGCAAGACUUUCCUUAACUAACACAAAAUUUGGUACAGUGAGAUAUGUUUGUAUAUUUACAUGUCCCCAAAGUGUGAACCUACUCAGUUCUUCUGAGCUAAAUUCAAAUGGAUCUAAAGAGUUUUAAAUUUCAUUGUGUAUCCUUUGUCAUUGCCAGAGUUUUAAAUUAAGAAGUAGUUUCCAUUGUAAUGUUACAUUCUGCUCAGAAAACCCAUAUCUCCGAAACAAAAUGUCAAGUUAAUCUGCAGGAUCCAUUUUCAGUUUAUUCACGAUUAUGGGACCACCUUCUGUUCUGAAGAUUCCCAAGGCUGGUGCAGCAUAAUCAUCACUGGGAAAGAGAUGUACAUCUCUUACAGAUGGAUUUAUUUAUGGAUCUUUUGUUGGCAUAUAGAUCUAACUUCCUCCGGGGACAGACACAAAUCUCUAUAAUGCCCCCACAUGAACAAUUUUGACUUUGAUGUUCAAACUUAUCCAACAAACAUAUAAAAAUCACAAAUAAUUGAACGAUUCCCUGCUGAUUUCACAGCUGUGCUACAAGAGCUGAAAACUGUGAAUUACUGCAGCGAUUGAAAGCAGGAACUACAGAGUAUCACCUACAUCCCCGAUGACCCAAUGAGUUCCUAUGUGGCCCCGGGUUUGAAGCUAUCCAUGAAAGACUGAUGCCUGAGUAGAACAGAAUAUGGUGGAGCAGCCCUGGAGUUGGAGUUAUAGGCAGUUGUAAGGCACUCAAUUCGGGUCCUGGGAAAUAGACUUCAGGCCUCUGAAGGAGUAUCAGAUGCUCUCAACUAUGGAGUCAUCUAUCUGUUCUCCACUGGGCAGCUGAGAGUAACCACACUCAGGUCCCAGUGUCCUCUCAAAUGAGGAUACUCUAUGAACCUAGCAGUUAAGUAUGGGAGAAUCAUGGGGACAUAUUAUCUACACAAAAUUAUUUAUAAUGAUUUUAUUUUCAGAGUGCAAAAUCAAAAUACAAAUUUUAAAAAUAAUAAAUGGUACAGAAUUGAUUAUAUUUCUUCUUGAAAAAUUUUAUAACAUUUAUUAACAAUAGAUACAAUCAAUACCAACAACAAUACAGAAAUAUGUACAUUUCUAUACACCUUAAAAAUAUGAUGACAGUUCUAUUUGGGGAAAAUAUGCACUGAAGAGCUAUCUCAUUUGAAGUGAAUCUUAAUUAGAAUGUAAUGAUAAAUCCUCACAAUUUACUACUGUAGUUUCAACUGAGAUAGCAAGACCACAUUUCAUACAGUUCAAAAUAAUUUCCCAGUGCCCACCUGCACCGCACCUGUGAAACCAGCUGGGGUUUGUUUGUUCUCUAGAUUUAUGGCCAGACUUCCCAGUCAAUGCAUCAUUAAUUUCAGAUUUUAUAAUGUCAUUUUCUUAGGUUCUCCACCCCAUUGCUUUGGAAUUGAUGGAGAAUAAUCGAGCAAAAUUAUCAGUGCUAUCCAAGGAUGUUGAAAACAGGAAGGAUUUUUUUAAUGUAACACAUAAACAGAAAAAAAUCUAGAAAUCUUACUGAAAUGGAAAGGCAGAGAAAUGAUUGAUAUUUUACUUCAUAAAUGAGUGUGUUUGUCGAUCACUCCAUAAAUUAUAUUUACUGAUGGAAAUGUAUUAACCUGGUUAUCAAACCUCCAGGAAAAUUAGCAAAAUUCCCCUCUUGCAUUUGAUGCUAUGAAAGCUCGUAAAUAAUAAUAAACAUAUGUGAUCAUUUUUCAAUUACUAAAUAACUCUAGAGUAUGAAAUAUAUCUAUUCCUUGGUGUGUGUGUGGGGGGGGGCGGUCAUGCCAAGGUAUGCAUGUACAUGUGAAAGUGCAACUUUCAGGCACUGACUCUCUUUCUACUGUGUGGGUUCCUAAGAUGGAGUACAGUUCUUGAGACCUGCAAUAAGUGCCCUUAUCAACCAAGUCUUCUUAUGAGCCUAGGUUCUUUUAUGUUGCAGAUGCAGUUAUUUCUGUACUAGUAAUGCAAACCAUUUCUUUCUUCCUAUGCAAAUACACUGAAACUCAUUAGUGAAUUAAAAAAAAACUUCUUGUAACUAUUCACAAGGGAUUACUUAUUUGAUUCAUUUGGGUAGAAUUUUAUCUUUUCAUUCCUGUUUGCACAGAGAAUACUGCCAAGUCAGUGCUGAAACCUUGAGGUUGUUAGGGGUGUUUUGGUACCUGUUCUCCCUUUGAAAUACUUAUUGGCUUCUAAAUUCUCCCACAUUUAAAAAUCACAAUUAUUGCUAAUAUUAUAGAAAAAUAUUCUCAUACUUUUUACUCUUUACACAACACAUUUUGUAUAUGAAAUAUACUUUUUCUGAAUACUGAGAGUUUUUCAUUUACAUUACAACACGUUUGAUAAAUUCCCACCAUUUUUCAGCAAUCUCUAGGUUCAAAAAGUGAUAUGGCAGGAUGAAAAAAAAAAGUGAUACGGAUGCCUGUUGCCUUGUUCAGAGAGGCUUUAUUUGUGAUUAAAUAGGAAAGGACAAUGAUUUGUGAAGGUAAACUCAUUACUCUAAGCAAGUCCCAACCGAGUUCAAAGAGUGCUGCUACAUUGAGAAAGAAGUGAGUCAACAGUAACAGAAAUCUGUCUUAAUACUUUUUGUCUUCCCUUUUACCUUUAAUCAGAAGGUAAUGCAAGAUGCUGAUGCAUCCCCAACCUUCUUUCUUUGUUAAUUUUUACUCUUCUUUCAUACAAUAUAUCACAAGGGCUGUUUCCCUCUCUCCAUUUCUUCCAGUCCACCUCUCCACUUCCUCUUUCUUCCAGAUCAACUCCUCCUCAGUUUCCCUUUAGAAAAGAGCAGACCUCCCAGGGGAAUCAAUGGAACACUUCAUAACAAGUUACAAUAAGACUAGGCACAAACCUUCAAGUUAGGGCUGGAUGCAGCAGCCCUGUAGAAGGAAAAAAGUUCCAAGAGUAGGCAAAAGAGUUAAAAAAUACCUCCGUUCCCACUGUUAGGAGUCCUAAAAAAAUAAAAUAAAAUAAAACCAAGUUAACAACCUUAAUAUAUAUAUAUCACAGACUCAUGCAGGCCCUGUGAUUUUCAUUUCAGUCUCUUGAGCCCCCGUGAGCCCUGCUUAGUUGAUAUAAUGGACAAUCUUCUCCUAGUGUCUUCAACCCCUCUGGCUCCUACAUUUUUUCCCUUCCCUUCUUCUGUAGAAUUUUCCAAGUUCCAAGGGGAGGGACCCAAUAGAGAACUUCAAUUUGGGCUCUCUUUCUGCCUAAUGUUUGGCUGUGGGUCUCUGUGUCUGCUCCCAUCGUCUGCUGAAGAAAGCCUCUCAGAUGAUGACUGAAGUAGGCACCAAAUUACGAGUACAGUAGAAUAUCAUUAGGAAUUAUUUUAUUGAUUUUUUCCCCAUAUUUUAUGUCUCUGGGCUAUCCGGCCUCAGGUUCCUGGUUGUCCAAGCAGUGUUGGUCAUGGGCUCUUUUCAUGUGGCAUGGGCCUCCUUUCAGACCAAUCAUUGCAUGGCCACUAUCAUAAGUUCUGCAUCUGCAUUGCCCCAGCAUAUCUUUCAAGAAAGAAAGAUAAUAGGUAGAAGGUUUUGUUGCUGAUUGGUGUCCUACUCCAAAUCACUGGCAGUUACCUGAUUACAGAAGAUGGUUGGUACAUGCUCCAUAUCCUCCAUUACUAGGAGUCCUUGCUAAGGUCAGUCACCCUUGUAGAAUUCUGGGUAUUUCUACUGCAUUAGGUUUCAACAUUGCCCCCACCCCCAAAUAUACCCCAGUUUUAUUCAUCUCUCCAUGAACUUUCUCCCUCUACUCCCACCCCACCUGGUCCCUCUUGCCCAUCCCCAAUUGCCCCCAGUACACCCACAAAAUCUAUUUCCCCUUCCCAGGGAACUCCAUGCAUCACCCCUACCUCCCCACUCCCCAACCCCCCACCCCACCCCCCAAACCCCUCCCCUUGAGCCCUCCUUGUUACAAAGCCUUUCUGGGUCUAGGUUACCUCACUCAGGGUAGUUUUUUCCUAGUUCCAGCUAUAUGACUGCUAAUUUCAUGGUAUCUUUUUAUUAACAGCAAAGUAAUAUUACUUAAUUUUGAUAAUAUUUAUGCCUUCACUAACAAUUUCAUUUCUUUAAUAAAUUAUCCCUUUGAUUUCAUUUAGUUUUUACUUGUUGAACACAGAUAAUUCUUAAAGUACAUAUGCACCACACACUUAUGAAGAGACAGAAAUUUGAAUGUAUCACUAUAUAUUUUUUCUCAUUGUAUAGUUAUUUCUUUUGUUCCUUCAAAAAUGUUGCUUUCAAAGACUGCUUUAUAGAGUGUGGAGAGUAACUCACUGAUUGAAAAUAAAUCUCUAGUUAUAUAGAUUUACUCAACUGAACAAAUGAUUAAUAUAAACUAGCUAAGCCAAAAGGAUGCAGUAAGUGUAUUACCUGAGUUUUACUUAAUUCAGAAGAAAGGAGGUAACAUGUAGCUGAGAAUUUUCCAAAACAUCCUGAAGAUACAUGUUCACAGAUUCAAAAACUUCAAUGAUUCAUAUGAAGAAUGAAUUUUCAAUUAAAAAAAGAUGAUUAGGAAAAUAAAGAAAUGCUGACAACCAAAACUCCCAAAACACUUCAAUGAGUUAGGCAAACUAUUCAAAGGAGUUUUAUAAACCUUUCAAAAACAAUGACAGUCUGAGACAGACCAAUGUCAUCAAUGUGCUGAAAAAAAUCAAGAGAUAUUUAAAAUCUGUAUGCAACAAAAAAUUCUUCAUAAUUUUAAGAUGAUAUUUAGUCAAAUGAAAAAAAUUUAAAAAUUAUUUAAAAGUAAAGAUAAGAAGGUACUUCUAGGAGAAGAAAAGGAUAUGCAAAAUGAAAUAUAAACAAGAAGUAAUGAGAAAAAGAGGCAGAAAAUGGUGAUGGAAAGAAUAUAUUACCUUAUAAACGUAGGAAUAAGAAACUAUCAUUUCAUUAUAAUCAACAGUAACACAACAUAAUCUACAACCAUGAGUUUAGAGAGACACUGUAGGAAAUAAAUUGUACCAAUACUGGCCAUUAACAAGAAAAUUAAAACAUUUAUAGUUUAAAUUUUAUUGUGCUUUAUUCAAUUAUAUUUAAGUUGGUAAAAUAUUUUAUAACAUUUUGAACUAAUUUAAUUAUGUAGAAAGCAAAUUACAAAAUUAGAUUUGUCUGAAAAAUAUUUGUAAAUAUAUUAAAAUAAAGGAAUAUGGUUUCCAACUGACAUUGACUCAUAGAGAUUUUUUUAAAAUCACAAUAGUAAAUGAUAAAUGAGUCAAAGAAGAAAACAACAACAAAAAAUAACCUAGAAGUAGAUGAAUAUAAAAAACACAACACAUCAAACUUUCUGGGACACAUUAAAAACAGCCCAGCAGGAAAUAUAGAUAUCUCUAAACAUUUUCAUUGGGAAAAAAAAGAAAAGAAAGAAAGAAAAUGUGCACAAAUAAAUUACUUAAUGAUACAAAUAUGGUUUCUGUUACAAUGGUUUCCCAUUCAUUUCUGCCCCCUUGUGUAAUUUCCUUAUUUAUUUUGGUUUUGUGAACUAAGAUUCUGUAGAUCUGUUUAUCCUCUCACAGAACCACCUCUUAGAGCUGUUAAUUCUUUGACUUGUUUUCAUCUACUUGAUUGAUGUCUGCUCUUCCCUUAUUAUUCCUUUCCAUUUACUGGAUUUUGGUUCCAUUUGUUCUCAUUUAUACAAUUCUUAAUUUGAUCACAUAAUUGUACAUGUUAUGAAAGAACAUUUCACAAAUAUUAUUAAUGGGAAAAUCAAUUUUAAAAUUAAAUCUUAAAUGGAAAAUUGAGAGUAAAUAGAAGCAUAUAAAGUUUUGGCAAUAGAAUAUGUUAGUAAGGACAGAUUUUCCUUAUCUCAGCGUUUAAAAUGUGUUCUAUGAAAGUUAAACUGACAAAUGUGUUAGAAAGAGAGUGACAGGAUGCUAGGCUGCCUGAUCAACUGUGCUUAUUAAAAAUGAUUUCAUGAAAAUAAAGAUAUGUGUAGAGAAAAACAGACAUGAUUUCAUGCAGAGGUAAAAAGAAGUGUAGAAUAAGAUAAUCUUAUUUUUCACAUGUUGACUUUCUUUGAACAGCAUAAUCUAGGAAAUCUGUCAAAGGAUGUAAAUUGAACAUUAUUAAUGUGCUACAAUUUACAUACACAA